rnacentral:lncRNA from 1 species
AGCAUUUUCCUAACUACAUCCCCAAUUUUCAGCCUAUUUUUGUCUUUUGUAUAUAUUUUUUAUUUUUUAUUUUAUUAUUAUUGCUUUAUUUAUUUAUUUUUGUUCUUUCUUUUAUUUUCUUUAGGUUUUUUUUUAAUUCUUUUCCUCUUGCAUUGAUAAUGUGCUCCUCCAUUUUAUUAUUUCUUUUAUCUUUUUUAUUGCUUUAU